GAUGAACGCUGGCGGCGUGCCUAAUACAUGCAAGUCGAGCGAACGGACGAGAAGCUUGCUUCUCUGAUGUUAGCGGCGGACGGGUGAGUAACGCGUGGAUAACCUACCUAUAAGACUGGGAUAACUUCGGGAAACCGUAGCUAAUACCGGAUAAUAUUUUGAACCGCAUGGUUCAAAAGUGAAAGACGGUCCUGCUGUCACUUAUAGAUGGAUCCGCGCUCCAUUAGCUAGUUGGUAAGGUAACGGCUUACCAAGGCAACGAUGCAUAGCCGACCUGAGAGGGUGAUCGGCCACACUGGAACUGAGACACGGUCCAGACUCCUACGGGAGGCAGCAGUAGGGAAUCUUCCGCAAUGGGCGAAAGCCUGACGGAGCAACGCCGCGUGAGUGAUGAAGGUCUUCGGAUCGUAAAACUCUGUUAUUAGGGAAGAACAUAUGUGUAAGUAACUGUGCACAUCUUGACGGUACCUAAUCAGAAAGCCACGGCUAACUACGUG
rnacentral:rRNA from 1 species